CAAACUACUAAGGUAUUUUGAUGGCAACUUGUGCUGAAAUUGAGCCUUGUAGGCUAGAUUUGGAGGGUACUGACGGAAGAGAAAGAGGAGAGGUGUGUCUAAAAGACCCUAUAAGGAUGAUCUUCAUUUGAGAAGCACGAUGCCCUUUUUGCUCUUGCUGUAUCAGAUAUUGUCUUUAUAAACAUGUGGUGUCAGGAUAUCAGCCAUGAACAGCUGCCAAUAAGCCACUCUUAAUGACUGUUUUUCAGUUUAAAUUGCGAGUGUUCAGUCCACGUAACACAACGUGACAAAACAAGGACACCACUGUACAAUAAGGAUCUGUUCUGCCGGAAGAUAUUCAGAAGGUUGAGGUUACAGCUCUUAACAGUUACACAGAAAAGGAAGAGCAAUUCAAGGAACAGGUGGCUGCUCUAACACAGCGGUUCUACCAUUCUAUUGCUCCUGGUGGACUUGCUGGAGAUCAAAGGGCUGUACUUCGUGCAUCAGGGUUUUCUUUUAGUGCACAACAAAUAUGGAAAAUUAUCAUGGAGAACAAGGAUCUUGACUUUCCUGCUCACAAGAGCAAAUGAUGAGUGUUGCUCCACUCAACUGGUUCAUUUAAUGUCGAUGGGACUUGCUAGAAUUUCCAAGGCAGUUAAGCUGGCUGAAUGCGGACUUUCUUAUGUCGUGGUUUCCGUCAUGGGUCCUCAAAGUAGCAGAAAGAGCACACGCUUGAACAGUCUUUUGUGCCAAUUCUAGAGAGAUGGAUGCUUUUAGAGGAAGGCAAGUUAUCAUCAUUUACUGACUCCAUUUCUUGUUACAUAGAUGUUUAUUCAUGAUUUUGUAUUGAAUUUCACCAGAGGUGUAAAAGUUCUGUCUCAGGUCUCAAACUAAUAAAGGUAUUUGGAUUGCAAUAUGUGCUGAAAUUGAGCCUCGUACGUUCGUCAUGGAUUUCGAGGAGGGUUGAUGGAAGAGAAAAGAGGAGAGGGUAACAUAGCGGGUUCUUGAAGAAUCCAGUCAUAAACGGUGUACAAUAUCUGCAUAAAGAGUUAAGAUCCAACAGGGUUUUAUUCUUUUGUGCGUCAACUGCUACUGCCUUAAACUGAAAAUUCUGUGGUACGAUGGUAUUAAGGGAAGCUUAUUUGCUGCUUUGAUCUGCCUGCAUGAUAUCUCUCUAGUCAAUGUUCGAACCUGAAAUUCAGAGAAAUGGUUUUACUUGCACACAACUUGGUGUAUUGGAUUUUUUUUAGGUGAGUUAUUCAGAUGAAUUUGAAGUGAGGUUCAGCUGUAGAAUAGGCGCGUUUUUAACUGGUAUUCAAUUUCAAGUAGUAAUGUAACAUGAAUGUCUUUCUUAGCUCGUAUUUAUGUUUGAAAAUGGAAUUUGGUAGAUACAAAAUGGGAUAUUUGGUAUGCUCAUGCUCUAUGGUCGGGCUUGUUACUGCUCAUAAUUUGAGAACCAUUGCAUGCUAAUGUUUCUGGAGUUAAAUCCUUGAAUAGAUAGCAGUAUCUGUAACAGAAUGUGUCAAGAUGAGUCAGUCGCAUAAGAGUUUAUGAUGUUUUUAUGGUCGUUUGAUGAUGUUCAGUAGAAAAUUAAAAAUGAAGUCCUGUUACUGUUGAA